AGAGUUUGAUUCUGGCUCAGAGUGAACGCUGGCGGCGUGCUUAACACAUGCAAGUCGAACGGUAACAGGAAGUAGCUUGCUACUUUGCUGACGAGUGGCGCACGGGUGAGUAAUAUAUAGUUAAUGUGCCCCAAAGACCGGGAUAGCCACUGGAAACGGUGAUUAAUACCGGAUACACCUUCAUAUCAUAAGUUAUGAAGGGAAAUGUUUUUUCGCUUUGGGAUCAGACUAUAUCCUAUCAGUUAGUUGGUGAGGUAAAGGCUCACCAAGGCAAUGACGGGUAGCGGUUCUGAGAGGAUGAUCCGCCACACUGGUACUGAGACACGGACCAGACUCCUACGGGAGGCAGCAGUGAGGAAUAUUGCACAAUGGGGGGAACCCUGAUGCAGCAACGCCGCGUGGAGGAUGACGCAUUUCGGUGUGUAAACUCCUUUUAUAUGUCAAGAAAAUGACGGUAGCAUAUGAAUAAGCACCGGCUAACUCCGUGCCAGCAGCCGCGGUAAU
rnacentral:rRNA from 1 species